rnacentral:rRNA from 1 species
CAUAGGUUAAUGAGGCGAACCGGGGGAACUGAAACAUCUAAGUACCCCGAGGAAAAGAAAUCAACCGAGAUUCCCCCAGUAGCGGCGAGCGAACGGGGAGGAGCCCAGAGCCUGAAUCAGUGUGUGUGUUAGUGGAAGCGUCUGGAAAGGCGCGCGAUACAGGGUGACAGCCCCGUACACAAAAAUGCACAUAUUGUGAGCUCGAUGAGUAGGGCGGGACACGUGGUAUCCUGUCUGAAUAUGGGGGGACCAUCCUCCAAGGCUAAAUACUCCUGACUGACCGAUAGUGAACCAGUACCGUGAGGGAAAGGCGAAAAGAACCCCGGCGAGGGGAGUGAAAAAGAACCUGAAACCGUGUACGUACAAGCAGUGGGAGCCUCUUAAUGGGGUGACUGCGUACCUUUUGUAUAAUGGGUCAGCGACUUAUAUUCUGUAGCAAGGUUAACCGAAUAGGGGAGCCGAAGGGAAACCGAGUCUUAACUGGGCGUUAAGUUGCAGGGUAUAGACCCGAAACCCGGUGAUCUAGCCAUGGGCAGGUUGAAGGUUGGGUAACACUAACUGGAGGACCGAACCGACUAAUGUUGAAAAAUUAGCGGAUGACUUGUGGCUGGGGGUGAAAGGCCAAUCAAACCGGGAGAUAGCUGGUUCUCCCCGAAAGCUAUUUAGGUAGCGCCUCGUGAAUUCAUCUCCGGGGGUAGAGCACUGUUUCGGCAAGGGGGUCAUCCCGACUUACCAACCCGAUGCAAACUGCGAAUACCGGAGAAUGUUAUCACGGGAGACACACGGCGGGUGCUAACGUCCGUCGUGAAGAGGGAAACAACCCAGACCGCCAGCUAAGGUCCCAAAGUCAUGGUUAAGUGGGAAACGAUGUGGGAAGGCCCAGACAGCCAGGAUGUUGGCUUAGAAGCAGCCAUCAUUUAAAGAAAGCGUAAUAGCUCACUGGUCGAGUCGGCCUGCGCGGAAGAUGUAACGGGGCU